rnacentral:rRNA from 1 species
ACCCGCUGAACUUAAGCAUAUCAAUAAGCGGAGGAAAAGAAACCAACAGGGAUUGCCCUAGUAACGGCGAGUGAAGCGGCAACAGCUCAAAUUUGAAAUCUGGCUCUUUUAGAGUCCGAGUUGUAAUUUGCAGAGGGCGCUUUGGCUUUGGCAGCGGUCCAAGUUCCUUGGAACAGGACGUCACAGAGGGUGAGAAUCCCGUACGUGGUCGCUGGCUAUUGCCGUGUAAAGCCCCUUCGACGAGUCGAGUUGUUUGGGAAUGCAGCUCUAAAUGGGAGGUACAUUCCUUCUAAAGCUAAAUAUUGGCCAGAGACCGAUAGCGCACAAGUAGAGUGAUCGAAAGAUGAAAAGCACUUUGGAAAGAGAGUCAAACAGCACGUGAAAUUGUUGAAAGGGAAGCGCUUGCAGCCAGACUUGCUUACAGUUGCUCAUCCGGGCUUUUGCCCGGUGCACUCUUCUGUAGGCAGGCCAGCAUCAGUUUGGGCGGUAGGAUAAAGGUCUCUGUCACGUACCUCUCUUCGGGGAGGCCUUAUAGGGGAGACGACAUACUACCAGCCUGGACUGAGGUCCGCGCAUCUGCUAGGAUGCUGGCGUAAUGGCUGU